UGUACGAUUUAACUUGUAUCUUAAAUUUCAUAGCAUAUUGCGUUUGGUGGAGUUUUAGGAGGCUCUACAACUUUGUUGAAGAAUUAUUGUGUUGAUGAUUGACAUAGUUUAGUUGCUAUUUUUUUUUUUUUAUAUCUUAAUACACUAGUAACCCACUGAUAUUCUAUUCUUUAUCAAAAAAAAAAUUAUAAGCUAAAAAUGAAGUGAGCCGAAAGCUGUUAUAGAAUGCUUAUAGAAUAAUGAGGUUGUAAUCACCUCUCGAUCUAUGUUCACUAUACAUGUUCAAGAUUCGUCUAUUUCUUGACUGAUUAUUACAAUAUCAUGCUGAGUACAAUAAUGUUUACAUUAUGUUUUAGGGAGCUUUUCUGGAUUUAACUCACAUCAUUUAGAAUUACAAUUGUACAGCCAUGCAUGGCUGAGUAUUUGACAAGGAGGCUUCGCAAAAGGAUGUUGUCGAAAGAACUCGGCUAUGUAAUCAGGUGGUUUCAAUCAAGAUGAAAAAUUCAAACAGAGCUAUUUGUUCAAGGCUCACUAUUGAUGCAAUUUGAGCGUUAGGAGGUUUUGCAAAUGUAGCUUAACACCAUGGCCAACAUGAAGGACAAAAUAUGUGACAGAGUUUUGACCAAGACAUAAUGAAUCUGUUUGAUGCCGCAUUCAAAACAUACUCUUACUCGGGUCUGAAAGAGCAUCAAAGAAAAGGACCUCAUUAUUAUAAUAAAUGGUGAUUUAUUAUUUAUUAUUAUGUUUAGACUUUAGAGAUACUUAUUAUUACUUACGAUGCAAUGUUGGUGUUGGUUAAGGUAAUACAUGUAUGUAAGGUUGUGUUUGAAGAGUUAGAAUGGUUUCAAUUCUAUAGAAAACAUGUCGUUAUUUAAAUGGCAUGUAACCGAUUCUGGUAUAUGUCAAUACUAAGAGUUGUCGUCCUCUUAAUUGGUUGAGUUUGGUUGAA